UUAGGUAAGCUAUUGUGAAUUCAUGCAAAUAAGUGUGAAGUCAUAAAUAUAGCUGAGAAGAGGGAACAAUAAUCAGCACAAACUCCAAAAAUUAGGGACCAGAAGUUAUGUCCAGAUGGAAAUAUCCAGAGCAAACAAGAACAAAUAAAAAAGUGAUCUCUUAGGAAACAAGGAUUGCUGAUCCAUACAACACCUUUGGAGUCCGCAGUUCCAGGAGUUCUGGAAGAAGUAAAGUGGGAAGGACCUUACCAAAUGUUACAGAUGACUGAGACUGAAGCCCAGAGGCUGAGAACACCAGGUUUAAAGGACCUUGGAGGAACCUGAAGAAUGGAUUGUUAAAGACAAUUUAUAUCCUCUAAAAUUUGCUUUGCAAUUAGGAAUGUUUUUGUGGGAGGGGAGAUUGUGCUUAGAGGAAUUUUAACAAUAUUGAUGUUGCACCUAGUAUUUAUAUUUCCAGAAAAGUUUAUAGAAACUCCUUGAUUGGAGAAAGUUGAAUUAACAUUUUUUUAGGCUGAAGAAAUCAUUAAUGUUAAUUCUGAUAAGGUUCUUUAAUGUGAAAUUAAUAUAUUCUAUAUUCUAUAUGAGUUUUAAUUGGUUGUAUUGAGUCAUUUUAAAGCUGUUCCCAUUGUUUAGGGAGAUUCUGAGAGCAGUGGUCUAUGUCAUUGUCCCUUUGAACAUGGUUAAUACCUAAACAUGUUUUGGUAUCAAUUUGUUAUUGAACAUCUUAAAGUAAAAUUAUUUGUGUAAUAUUAAAUUUAAAAUCUAUUUAGAUAUGAAAAUAAGCUGUGAACUUUUUAGGAUGGAUCUCUUAUAGUUAUCAAUGUAAGUAGGUAUAGUCAAUACUUAUUUAGAGCAUGUGAUCCUUCCUUGAGAGCUAAUUCACCUGAAGCUUUGAUUAAGAAGAUUUCAUAUUUGACAUAAAAUCUCUUGGUACUGUAACUGAUUUUUUAUUUCAGAUAUGAUUGUUUGAUGGAUCAUCAAGCCAGUAAUACACCAUCUGAAAAGAAUAUGCCACAAGUCACUCAGAUGAAUGUGAUGCUGAAUUGUUACAGAUUCACAGUUCAAAUGAGAAUCAUGGAUAUGAUGCUAAAAAGAAGAUUAAAGAAUCAUCUAAUCAGUCUUAAUUUUUGAGGAACUAUGGAGAAUUCAUUUGGACACAAGUGAGAAGAAUCCAUACCAAGGCCUUACAUGUAGGAGACUCAAAUCCCAUCUUGGGAUCUAUAGAGAAACUUCUUGUUAAGAUGACCACAUGAAUAGUUGCUGAGGAGCCUCUCUCUCUUAGAAUUAUUCCAGCAAAAAUCUAAAAAGAGCAGAAGACCAAAAAAUGAUCAAGAAGUUUAAAAAGAAGCUAGUGCUUUCACCAGCCAAGGAAUGCCCCCCAAAACUGUCUUUAGGAGGGCUAAACAGAACCAGAUCCAGAAGCAUAGCAGGUCAAAAUUCUGAUAUUGCAGUCUUAGUGAGUGAGGUGAGAUUUAAUUUUUAAAUAAAGAGAAAAAUGAGAGACAAAGAAAGACAGAGACAAGAUAGUCAAAUAGACAGAGAGGGAUACAGACAUAGAGACAGAGACAGAGAAAGAAGGAAAGAGAGAGACACACAGAGAGAAGAGAUAGGAGACAGAGAGAGAUAAAGGCAGAGAGAAAGAGACAGAGAGAGACAGAUAGAGUGCACAUGAUACAGAAAAACUAGCAAAUAUGUAGCUUUAAAAAAUACCAUCUGUAGGUACUGAUUUUUCCCAAAGCCUGAGACAUGCCAUUGUAAUGGCACCUGAAGAUUGUAGUAUUCCACCAAGCUAAAUCAAGUCAAUAAGCAUCUAUUAAGCACUUAGUAUGCACAGACAGGAGUGUCCAGAGUGGCCAAAUUUCCCAAACUUGAGAGUUCCACUAGCCUCAGAUCCUCUAUCAUCUGGGGUUGUAGAUAUGUGAAUGAAUCAAUAACAUCAUAACAAUCAUAACCAUGAGAUGAAAUAAUUUUCAAAAAGGAACAGACUAGCAAAGUGCAUUAAAAAACAGAAUCCAAUAAUAUAUUGAACUUAAGAACACACUUGACAAAAAGUAAAAUUAAAUACAUUUUGCUUUGUUAAAAUAUGUUUUGAGUAAAGUUGAAAAAGCAGAGGUGACAAUCAUUACCUGCUUAAUCUGAAUUAGGCACCAAUAAAAAGAGACAUGAUCAAAAGGGAUAAACAGAGAGAUUUACCUAUGCUUAAAAGGACUAGAGAUAAAAAAUAAUAUCAGUUUAAAAUAUAUGCCUCAAGUGAAAUAGCAUUUAAAUAACUAAAGAAAUAAUUACUCAUAUUACAGAGAGAAAUAGAAAGAUAAAUUGUGAGAGCUAAGGACUUGAAAACACACCUUUCAGAGUAAGACCAAAAUCUAACAAAAAAGAAGAAAAAAAUAAUAAACAUCUGAAUAGAUUAUUAGAAAAGUUAGAUAUGAUAGUUUUUUGGGGGGCUACUGAGUGAGAAUUGAAAGAAAUAUACAUAUUUUAGGUGUGCAUAAUGUGACAAAAAUUAGCCAUUUACUAGAACAUCAAAACAGAAGUAAAUGCAGAAAAACCAGAAUA